rnacentral:rRNA from 1 species
GAUUUUGUUACGGUCUAAAAAUUUACAUCUCGGUUUAUAACUAUGGAAUUUAUAGAGACUACAGUUACGAAAUUUUGUUUAGUUGAGAAAUCAAGCACAAGAAACCGAUAUACUCAAGGCUAAGAUAGUGCCAGCAGCCGCGGUCAUACUAUCGUGGGGAGUAAAUAAGCUAAGUAAUUGUAAAACCAAUAAUGUAUGUAAUUUUAGUGAAAUAUAUUACAUAUUACACUAAAUAAGUUAAAUCUAAACUAAACACAAAUAACCAAACAAGGAUUAGAUACCCUUCUAUGAGGUGAGUAAAAAACUUUUACUGGGUAUUAAAGUUUUAUUACCUAAACUCAAAUAACAUGGCGGUAAUUUUAAGCCUUAGGGGAACUUACCUAAUAAAUGAUAACCACCAAGGUUCACCACUUUAGAUUAAAUUUUGUAUGCCGUCGUCUAGAUUAAAUAUAAUAUUUAAUCUAAUAGUUUUAAUAACUAUAUGACAGAUCAUGGUGCAGACAAUUCUAAAGAUAGGGCGAGUUACAUUAGUAAUUUACAUUCUAAGGGUUUACUUAUUAAACCUAAAUAGUUGGACUUAAAAGUAAGGUACAUUAUAAUUACUACCUGAAUAUUAAUAAAAUUGUGC